rnacentral:misc_RNA from 1 species
GAUGAAGAACGUAGCGAAAUGCGAUAAGUAGUGUGAAUUGCAGAAUUCAGUGAAUCAUCGAAUCUUUGAACGCACAUUGCGCCCUUUGGUAUUCCUUAGGGCAUGCCUGUUCGAGCGUCAUUUCAACCCCUCAAGCUUCGGCUUGGUGUUGGGCCGCGCCGCUGCACCAGCAGCUGGCGGGCCUCAAAAUCAGUGGCGGUGCCGUCUCGGCUCUAAGCGUAGUAACAUCUCUCGCUCUGGAGACCUGGCGGUGGCUUGCCAGACAACCCCCAACUUUCUUUAAGGUUUGACCUCGGAUCAGGUAGGGAUACCCGCUGAACUUAAGCAUAUCAAUAAGCGGAGGA